GGCGGCUGGAGAGGUGGUCGGGGAAGUAGGAACCUCCUGCCAGGCUCGUGGUGGCUUCUUUCUGCUCUGCGGCGGGAAGCGCCUUCCCAUCAAUGCAAGCUUGAAUAAGAAAAACAAAGUCUUCCUCCUAAGCCAUGGCAUAUCAGUUAUACAGAAAUACCACUUUGGGAAACAGUCUUCAGGAGAGCCUAGAUGAGCUCAUACAGUCUCAACAGAUCACUCCCCAACUUGCCCUUCAAGUUCUACUUCAGUUUGAUAAGGCUAUAAAUUGUGCACUGGCUCAGAGGGUCAGGAACAGAGUCAAUUUCAGGGGCUCUCUAAAUACAUACAGAUUCUGCGAUAAUGUGUGGACUUUUGUAUUGAAUGAUGUUGAAUUCAGAGAGGUGACAGAACUUACUAAAGUGGAUAAAGUGAAAAUUGUAGCCUGUGAUGGUAAAAAUACUACAGAAUGA